rnacentral:misc_RNA from 1 species
GCAAGGUGUUCCGUAGGG